GUUCCAACCUGCACUUUUUUUUCCAUAAAGUAAAUAUUAAAUUAGUUAAUCGUGGGGGAUGAGUAAUCGAAUUUUGUAAUCCUACUCUUCAACCUGUUAAGCAUGUUAUACUAACCAACUUUACUUCGAUUCAACAAAUGAUGGAGAUAGUCAAACGACCUUACGUAUAACUUCCUGCACCCUCAUAACUACUGCUAAACCCUAUACUAAUAGCAAAAAGGAUAAUUUAUAACUUAAUCUCAAACCCUAAUUCUUCCUCCUACGUUUUCUGCUGGUUGCAACUUCUCUGCUGCAGUGCAACACCCACGUCGCCGUUACUCCUCAUUGUUGCUGAGCCUUAUUGAGUGGGAGUCUUGUGCAACUUCUCCAUCAAAUUUUUCAUCUUUCUCUGAAACCACCUCACUAUUGCAGGUGUAUUUAUUUUUCUUUUUUUUACCUUUUGGAGGGCUUAAUCCGAAAACCUCUCAGAUUGCUCAAUUCAUAACGUUUAUGGAUUAUGUAAUUCGAAAAAAGGGAGGUGUUUGUUGAAACGUGUUUUCAAUUUGGUCAUUUCUGUAUAACACUUUUAUAGAUUGCUCAAUUUAGAACAUGCGUAGAUCAUUGAAAUGCUAUGAUUUGUACACGGAAAUACAUUUUUAUAUGAAAAUAAUAAUUACAUUAGAGUUGUAUGUUAUUUGGAUGUUGAUUGAAUAGAUUUUUCUUUUGAGGAACAUGUUGCUUGCUAGCUAUAGAAUGGAGCUCGACCCAUUCAAAUGAACUCUCUGACUAUUGCUUCUGACAAAGAGCCACUGCUGAAGUAUUAAAAGAAACUCUUUGCUAUCACUGUGAAGUUGAUGAUGAAGGAGGACUUGAUUGUGUCGACAACGAUGGCAGUGCUGCUGCGAUGUCUCUUUUUGUUCAUGCGGUGCAUUAUAUUAUAUAUUGUUUCGGCCACUGGAUUUUGGAUGCAUGUCUCUGAAAAAUCUGACGCUGGAAAAUAAAACUUGAUGCAUUUUUUUCUUUAUUUCUGGAAAACUGGUAAAAAUUGACGCAUGUAUUUGUUUUAGCCAGUGCUGGAAAUAUCUUGUUGUGCAGGG
rnacentral:sRNA from 1 species